UACGGAGGGUGCGAGCGUUGUUCGGAAUUACUGGGCGUAAAGCGCGCGCAGGCGGUUUUCCAAGUCAGUGGUGAAAGCCCGGAGCUCAACUCCGGAAAUGCCAUUGAAACUGUAAAACUUGAGUACGAGAGAGGUGAGUGGAAUUCCCAGUGUAGAGGUGAAAUUCGUAGAUAUUGGGAAGAACACCGGUGGCGAAGGCGGCUCACUGGCUCGUAACUGACGCUCAGGCGCGAUAGCGUGGGGAUCAAACAGG
rnacentral:rRNA from 1 species